UGCUCAAUGAAUUAUAAAUUUAAAUAGCCGCAGUAUACUGACUGUGCGAAGGUAGCAUAAUCAUUUGUCUUUUAAUUGAAGGCUUGUAUGAAUGGUUGGAUGAAGGGGUGACUUUCUUUAUAUUAUUUUAUUGAAUUUAAUUUUUGUGUUAAAAAGCAUAAAUAUUUAAAUGGGACGAGAAGACCCUAUAGAAUUUUAUUUUAUAUUGAUGAUUUAAUUUUUUGGUUAAUUUAUUACUUAUCAUGCUGAAAAUUUUGUUGGGGUGACAGUAAGAUUUUUUUAACUCUUAUAAUUUAAUGUUUACUAAUUAGUAUUUUGCAGAUCCUUAUUUGGGAUAAAUAGAUUAAAUUACCUUAGGGAUAACAGCGUAAUUUUAUUGGAGAGUUCAUAUUGAUAAUAGAGUUUGCGACCUCGAUGUUGGAUUAAAAUCAGAGUUAAGUGCAGAAGC
rnacentral:rRNA from 1 species